ACGGGUGCGUAACGCGUGGGAAUCUGCCCUUGGGUUCGGAGUAACAGUUAGAAAUGACUGCUAAUACCGGAUGAUGUCUUCGGACCAAAGAUUUAUCGCCCAAGGAUGAGCCCGCGUAAGAUUAGCUAGUUGGUGGGGUAAUGGCCCACCAAGGCGACGAUCUUUAGCUGGUCUGAGAGGAUGAUCAGCCACACUGGGACUGAGACACGGCCCAGACUCCUACGGGAGGCAGCAGUGGGGAAUAUUGGACAAUGGGCGAAAGCCUGAUCCAGCAAUGCCGCGUGAGUGAUGAAGGCCUUAGGGUUGUAAAGCUCUUUUACCAGGGAUGAUAAUGACAGUACCUGGAGAAUAAGCUCCGGCUAACUCCGUGCCAGCAGCCGCGGUAAUACGGAGGGAGCUAGCGUUGUUCGGAAUUACUGGGCGUAAAGCGUACGUAGGCGGUUAUUCAAGUCAGAGGUGAAAGCCCGGGGCUCAACCCCGGAACGGCCUUUGAAACUAGAUAGCUAGAGUCUUGGAGAGGUUAGUGGAAUUCCGAGUGUAGAGGUGAAAUUCGUAGA
rnacentral:rRNA from 1 species